rnacentral:rRNA from 1 species
AGCUCCAAUAGCGUAUAUUAAAGUUGCUGCAGUUAAAAAGCUCGUAGUUGGAUUUGUGGCGCGGCCGUCCGGCGGGGCUCCUUCAUUGGGGCCGUUUGUCUGGUUUUUCGGCCGCCCCAUUCUCGGGUAGUGUGUCGCUGGCAUUAGGUUGUCGGCUUCUUCACGCCCGUCGUUUACUGUGAAAAAAUUAGAGUGUUCAAAGCAGGCUUAGGCCGUUGGAUACAUUAGCAUGGAAUAAUGAGAUAGGGCCACGACGGUCUAUUUUGUUGGUUUGCACGUUGUGGUAAUGAUUAACAGGAACGGUUGGGGGUAUUCGUAUUCAAUUGUCAGAGGUGAAAUUCUUGGAUUUAUGGAAGACGAACUACUGCGAAAGCAUUUACCAAGGGUGUUUUCAUUAAUC